rnacentral:rRNA from 1 species
GAGUUUGAUCCUGGCUCANGAUAAACGCUGGCGGCAUGCCUAAUACAUGCAAGUCGAACGAUCUCGACCUUCGGGUCAAUGAGAAAGUGGCGAACGGGUGAGGAACACGUAAGAAACCUGCCCCUAAGUCGAGGAUAACCAUUGGAAACGAUGACUAAUACUGGAUAGGAUAUAAAACCGCAUGGUUUAAUAUUUAAAGGUGCUUUCAAGCACCGCUGAGGGAUGGUCUUGCGUAGCAUUAGCUAGAUGGUAGGGUAACGGCCUACCAUGGCGACNAUGCUUAGCUGGUCUGAGAGGAUGAACAGCCACACUGGGACUGAGACACGGCCCAGACUCCUACGGGAGGCAGCAGUAGGGAAUUUUCGGCAAUGGGCGCAAGCCUGACCGAGCAAUGCCGCGUGAAUGAUGAAGGUCUUCGGAUCGUAAAAUUCUGUUGUUAAGGAAGAACACGCAGACUAGGAAAUGAUUCUGCGCUGACGGUACUUAACCAGAAAGCUCCGGCUAACUACGUGCCAGCAGCCGCGGUAAUACGUAGGGAGCGAGCGUUAUCCGGAAUUAUUGGGCGUAAAGCGUUCGUAGGCGGUUCGUUAAGUCAAAUCUGAAAGCCCCCGGCUUAACCGGGGAGGGUGAUUUGAAACUGGCGGACUUGAGUAUGGCAGAGGUAAGUGGAAUUUCAUGUGUAGCGGUGGAAUGCGUAGAUAUAUGAAGGAACACCAGUGGCGAAGGCGGCUUACUGGACCAGAACUGACGCUGAUGAACGAAAGCGUGGGGAGCAAACAG